rnacentral:rRNA from 1 species
AGCGAACGCUGGCGGCAGGCUUAACACAUGCAAGUCGAGCGGGCAUCCUUGUGGUGUCAGCGGCAGACGGGUGAGUAACGCGUGGGAACGUGCCCUUCGGUUCGGAAUAACUCAGGGAAACUUGAGCUAAUACCGGAUACGUGCGAGAGCAGAAAGGUUUAUCUGCCGAAGGAUCGGCCCGCGUCUGGUUAGCUAGUUGGUGAGGUUACGGCUCACCAAGGCGACGCUCAGUAGCUGGUCUGAGAGGAUGAUCAGCCACACUGGGACUGAGACACGGCCCAGACUCCUACGGGAGGGAGCAGUGGGGAAUAUUGGACAAUGGGGGCAACCCUGAUCCAGCCAUGCCGCGUGAGUGAGGACGGCCUUAGGGUUGUAAAGCUCUUUGCUCCGGGACGAUAAUGACGGUACCGGAGGAAUAAGCCCCGGCUAACUUCGUG